AAAGCGGAACCCGAAAAGCUAUUUAGAGUAGGGA
rnacentral:ncRNA from 1 species